AUGGUCUAUAUAUACAAUUCACAUUCUUGUUCUUGUUGUAUAUGGAAUAGAAAUUAAAGUUAUACUGCAAGAGUAGUCAAUUCUCUUCAUUGCUUAUAAAUACAUUCUUCCAUCAUCUUGUUUGAAUUCACAACACAAAUCAUUUUCUUCAUUACAAACAGAAAUAUAUACUAGAGUUAAUUACCAGCUGUUUGAUGUCCAAAUCAUCCAAUGUAGCUGCUUUUCAAGCUGGGGAAACUGUCCCGCAGCGUGUUAUCUCAAUGGAAAAGAGACCGAGCUUUAUAAAAAGGUUGGAGACUAUCCAGGAAGAAGGUGACACCGCUUAUAACCGUAAUGGAAAACCGUCUCGUCUUGAUGUUGCAGCAAAUGAGUUUGCAAAAAGACGCACUUCAAUUCUUGCUGGGUGAUAGCAAAAUCAUGUUAUUUCAUCAGCUGAUUUCUUUAAUGGAGUGAGAAUAGUAUUAUGACUCCAUAUAUAGCAUGUAAUCAGUGUAUGUGUAAACGCUAAUGCAAUAAUAUAUAUAUAUAAGUUCCUUUAGUGUCUACUACUAUAUAUAACAGUUUAAUAUAUAUAACUCAUUCGUCUGUGGUUAAAACUUGCAAUCGAGCAGGUCUAGCUGAGCAACUAUAUAUGCCUUUGAUCAAUGUCUGAGAUACUUUAUUCCCUUUUCUGAACAUGUUUGUAUAUAAAUAAGAAAAAGAAUUACUUGAAGACUAAUAUAUAUGAAAAAAUUCAAGAGUUAGAUAGUCCUUCAUCUGUAGUUAAAACUUAAAACUCAUGAUCUU
rnacentral:lncRNA from 1 species